CGCCUGUUUACCAAAAACAUCGCCUCUUGCAAAUCAAAGCAUAAGAGGUCCCGCCUGCCCUGUGACUAUGGGUUUAACGGCCGCGGUAUUUUGACCGUGCGAAGGUAGCGCAAUCACUUGUCUUUUAAAUGAAGACCUGUAUGAAUGGCAUCACGAGGGCUUAGCUGUCUCCUCUUCCAAGUCAAUGAAAUUGAUCUGUCCGUGCAGAAGCGGACAUAAACACAUAAGACGAGAAGACCCUAUGGAGCUUUAGACACCAGGCAGAUCACGUCAAAAACCUUGAAUUAACAAGUAAAAACGCAGUGACCCCUAGCCCAUAUGUCUUUGGUUGGGGCGACCGCGGGGGAAAAUUAAGCCCCCAUGUGGACUGGGGGCACUGCCCCCACAGCCAAGAGCCACAGCUCUAAGCACCAGAAUAUCUGACCAAAAAUGAUCCGGCAAACGCCGAUCAACGGACCGAGUUACCCUAGGGAUAACAGCGCAAUCCUCUCCCAGAGUCCCUAUCGACGAGGGGGUUUACGACCUCGAUGUUGGAUCAGGACAUCCUAAUGGUGCAGCCGCUAUUAAGGGUUCGUUUGUUCAACGAUUAAAGUCCUACGUGAUCUGAGUUCAGACCGG
rnacentral:rRNA from 1 species